rnacentral:rRNA from 1 species
CCUACGGGUGGCAGCAGUGAGGAAUAUUGGUCAAUGGACGAGAGUCUGAACCAGCCAAGUAGCGUGAAGGAUGACUGCCCUAUGGGUUGUAAACUUCUUUUAUAUGGGAAUAAAAUGUUCCACGUGUGGGAUUUUGUAUGUACCAUAUGAAUAAGGAUCGGCUAACUCCGUGCCAGCAGCCGCGGUAAUACGGAGGAUCCGAGCGUUAUCCGGAUUUAUUGGGUUUAAAGGGAGCGUAGGUGGAUUGUUAAGUCAGUUGUGAAAGUUUGCGGCUCAACCGUAAAAUUGCAGUUGAAACUGGCAGUCUUGAGUGCAGAAGAGGUUGGCGGAAUGUGUGGUGUAGCGGUGAAAUGCUUAGAUAUCACGAAGAACUCCGAUUGCGAAGGCAGUUCACUGGACUGCAACUGACACUGAGGCUCGAAAGUGUGGGUAUCAAACAGGAUUAGAUACCCUUGUAGUC